GAUGAACGCUAGCGGCAGGCUUAACACAUGCAAGUCGAGGGGCAGCGCGGGGCGGCAACGUCCUGGCGGCGACCGGCGGAAGGGUGCGUAACGCGUGAGCGACAUGCCCGUUGCCCGGGGACAACCGGUGGAAACGCCGACUAAUCCCCGAUGGGACGGAGGCCCUCAUGGGUCUCUGUUGAAAGUUACGGCGGCGACGGAUUGGCUCGCGUCCGAUUAGCUUGUUGGCGGGGUAACGGCCCACCAAGGCUACGAUCGGUAGGGGUUCUGAGAGGAAGGUCCCCCACAAUGGAACUGAGACACGGUCCAUACUCCUACGGGAGGCAGCAGUGAGGAAUAUUGGUCAAUGGGCGGAAGCCUGAACCAGCCAUGCCGCGUGCGGGAAGGAGGCCCUAUGGGCUGUGAACCGCUUUUGCCUGGGGGCAAUAAGGGCGUCGUGCACGUCCGAUGAGAGUACCAGGCGAAUAAGCAUCGGCUAACUCCGUGCCAGCAGCCGCGGUAAUACGGGGGAUGCGAGCGUUAUCCGGAUUCAUUGGGUUUAAAGGGUGCGUAGGCUGUGCGUCAAGUCAGGGGUGAAAUUCCGGGGCUCAACUCCGGGGCUGCCCUUGAUACUGUCGCGCUGGAGUGCGGAUGCCGCCGGAGGAAUGAGUGGUGUAGCGGUGAAAUGCUUAGAUAUCACUCAGAACACCGAUUGCGAAGGCAUCUGGCGAAUCCGUAACUGACGCUGAGGCACGAAAGCGUGGGGAUAGAACAGGAUUAGAUACCCUGGUAUUCCACGCCGUAAACGAUGAUGGCUAACCGCCGGCGACACAUUGUCGGUGGCCAAGCGAAAGCGAUAAGCCAUCCACCUGGGGAGUACGUCGGCAACGAUGCAACUCAAAGGAAUUGACGG
rnacentral:rRNA from 1 species